rnacentral:rRNA from 1 species
AACGAACGCUGGCGGCAGGCUUAACACAUGCAAGUCGAGCGCCCCGCAAGGGGAGCGGCAGACGGGUGAGUAACGCGUGGGAAUCUACCCAUCACUACGGAACAACUCCGGGAAACUGGAGCUAAUACCGUAUACGUCCUUCGGGAGAAAGAUUUAUCGGUGAUGGAUGAGCCCGCGUUGGAUUAGCUAGUUGGUGGGGUAAUGGCCUACCAAGGCGACGAUCCAUAGCUGGUCUGAGAGGAUGAUCAGCCACACUGGGACUGAGACACGGCCCAGACUCCUACGGGAGGCAGCAGUGGGGAAUAUUGGACAAUGGGCGAAAGCCUGAUCCAGCCAUGCCGCGUGAGUGGUGACGGCCCUAGGGUUGUAAAGCUCUUUCGCAGGUGAAGAUAAUGACGGUAACCUGAGAAGGAGCCCCGGCUAACUUCGUGCCAGCAGCCGCCGUAAUAC